rnacentral:lncRNA from 1 species
UAUAAAAUGAAAAAAAAUGCUAAUUGAUUAAAAUAAAAUUAUUUUAAAUAGAAAUCGAGAUUGAAAAAUGCUAAUUAGUGCUUAUAAGCAUUGAAAGUUAAAAAUAUCUUAAACCCUUAUGCCUCGAACACAACCUAAGCCCACAACUUGAACCUACAUCCCUACCAUAUGACAAACAAAAACUAAAGGUGUUGCAUAAGGAGAGAGCAUAUAAUAACAGCUUUUGAAGCUGUUUACCCAUAUGGAAAAAAUAAUUAUAUCCUAAAUGUACAGGCCCAAUUUUGCCCGGCCCGUUUAAACAAAAACCAAACUAAUAACAACAGUCCAUUUUACCACAAGGCCCAAGCAAAAAACGGCCCAAAACACAAAAUAACUCAGAAACCCUAACAGCUUAGGGUGUUGCGCCUCCAUGUGCACCCUCGGCAUGCACGGCCCCCGAGGUUCGGCCCUCCAUUCCCCCGUUGCACCAAAGCGGCCAUGUACGUCCCGUUGACCUUCGUGCGCCUGCAAAAGAGAGCAAAAGAGGAAACAAAACAGGACCACAAGGCAGAGAGCAGAGACGAGGCAAAAAAGAAGCAGAAAUAAAAAAUAGCAGUAACAGGAAUAAAAUGCAUUUUUCUUUCUUUCUCUCUCGGCUAUAUAAGCCCGAAAAUAAAAUGUUGUAAAGAUACGAACAAUAGCAAUCGAAAAAGCAAAGAAAACCUACAAAAAGGUUAAAUCUCCGAUUUUAUUUUCAUUGUUUUUCAUUUCGUUUUUAUUUCUUUAAUAUUUUUUUUAUUUCAAUAUAAAUCUGUUAAAACGAAUGGGGGUGUAAGACAAAUAAAAAGAAAAAGGAGGAGGGAACCUUACCAGAUCAGCCCCGUGACCGCGUCGUUGGAGCUUUCUUCUCCGUUCGGCGUGGUCAAGCAAAAAGGGAGGGUUGAGCCCUUGUCUUUCGCCCUUUAGGAAUAUGUCUCCAAUGAGCAUGAAAAGGAGGGCUAAGGGAGCGCAUCUUGGUGCAUCGCCGGUCACCAAUGUGAUGGUGGCGCGGUGGUCGGACGACUGCAGUGAUGGGUUAUUUUCUAACCCCUAGCAGAGAAUGAAUAUGGGGGAAAAGGGGCAGUUUUCUGAAUUUUUUAGAAAGGAAAACAAAUGGCAAAAAAAGAAAUGGAAAACUAACCUAAAAGGCAAAGCAAAACGGCAUCGUUUUGCGUCAAGGAAACCGGUGCUAAAACAGCCUCGUAUCGGGUUAUCCGCGCGCGACCCAACUCGCUCCAGGGGGUCCGCGCGUUUUCAAACCAUUGGGAUAUUUUCUACUUUGAUCCUUCCAUUUCUACGCGAU